GUGGGGAUGACGUCAAGUCAUCAUGGCCCUUACGACCAGGGCUACACACGUGCUACAAUGGCGCAUACAAAGAGAAGCGACCUCGCGAGAGCAAGCGGACCUCAUAAAGUGCGUCGUAGUCCGGAUUGGAGUCUGCAACUCGACUCCAUGAAGUCGGAAUCGCUAGUAAUCGUGGAUCAGAAUGCCACGGUGAAUACGUUCCCGGGCCUUGUACACACCGCCCGUCACACCAUGGGAGUGGGUUGCAAAAGAAGUAGGUAGCUUAACCUUCGGGAGGGCGCUUACCACUUUGUGAUUCAUGACUGGGGUGAAGUCGUAACAAGGUAACCGUAGGGGAACCUGCGGUUGGA
rnacentral:rRNA from 2 species